CAGAAAAUGAAAAACAAGGACAGAAAAAAAAAUAUUAUAAAAUACCAGUGCAAAUUUUACCGUACUAAAAAAUGCUCGCAAUGACUUAAGACAUGCUCGAAUACUUAAAUGACGGACAAAAGAUACCAGAGAGACAGUCAAACUCAUAAAUUAUAAAUAAAUAGACAACGCCAUGGCUAGAAAUGAAAAAGACAAACAGACAAACAAUAGUACUCAUGAUACAACAUAGAAAACCAAAUAAUAAGUAAC
rnacentral:lncRNA from 1 species